AUGUUCCCUGUGGUAACACUGUUGCUUUGGUUGGUUUGGAUCAGUUCAUCACCAAGAAAUGCAACCCUGACAAAUGAGAAGGAAGUUGAUGCCUGCCCAAUCAGGGCAAUGAAGUUCUCUGUGUCCCCUGUUGUGCGUGUUGCUGUUCAUUGCAAGGUGGCUUCUGAUCUUCCUAAGCUUGUUGAGGGUUUGAAGCGGCUAGCGAAGUCUGACCCUAUGGUUCUCUGUAGCAUUGAAGAUUCUGGUGAGCAUAUCAUUGCUGGAGCUGGAGAGCUUCACCUUGAAAUCUGUUUGAAGGAUCUGCAGGAGGAUUUCAUGGGUGGUGCUGAAAUUAUUGUUUCACCUCCUGUUAUCUCCUACUGUAGAUAA
rnacentral:rRNA from 1 species